CACCACUCAAGCCUCGCUUGGUAUUGGGCGCCGCGGUUUGUCCGCGCGCCUCAAAGUCUCCGGCUGAGCUGUCCGUCUCCUAGCGUUGUGAUUUCAUUAAUCGCUUCGGAGUGCGGGUGGCCGCGGCCGUUAAAUCUUUCAAA
rnacentral:misc_RNA from 1 species